rnacentral:rRNA from 1 species
GUUGUAUGGUUAAGUGACUAAGCGUACAUGGUGGAUGCCUUGGCAGUCAGAGGCGAUGAAGGACGUACUAACCUGCGAUAAGCCGUGAGCAGUCGGUAAGAGACAUUACGACUCACGGAUUUCCGAAUGGGGAAACCCACUUAGCAUAAGCUAGGUAUCGCUNCGUGAAUACAUAGCGUAGCGAGGCGAACCGGGAGAACUGAAACAUCUAAGUACCCCGAGGAAAAGAAAUCAACCGAGAUUCCCUCAGUAGCGGCGAGCGAACGGGGAUUAGCCCUUAAGCAUCUUGGAAGUUAGUGGAACGGUCCUGGAAAGGCCGGCGAUACAGGGUGAUAGCCCCGUACACGAAAACAACCUUGAUGUGAAAUCGAGUAGGGCGGGACACGUGACAUCCUGUCUGAAUAUGGGGGGACCAUCCUCCAAGGCUAAAUACUCCUGACUGACCGAUAGUGAACCAGUACCGUGAGGGAAAGGCGAAAAGAACCCCUGUGAGGGGAGUGAAAUAGAACCUGAAACCGUGUACGUACAAGCAGUGGGAGCCCUUCGGGGUGACUGCGUACCUUUUGUAUAAUGGGUCAGCGACUUACAUUUUGUAGCGAGGUUAACCGUAUAGGGGAGCCGUAGGGAAACCGAGUCUUAACUGGGCGUCUAGUUGCAAGGUGUAGACCCGAAACCGGGUGAUCUAGCCAUGGGCAGGUUGAAGGUUGAGUAACAUCAACUGGAGGACCGAACCCACUAACGUUGCAAAGUUAGGGGAUGACCUGUGGCUGGGGGUGAAAGGCCAAUCAAACUCGGAGAUAGCUGGUUCUCCCCGAAAGCUAUUUAGGUAGCGCCUCGGACGAAUACUACUGGGGGUAGAGCACUGUUUGGGCUAGGGGGUCAUCCCGACUUACCAACCCCAUGCAAACUCCGAAUACCAGUAAGUANUAUCCGGGAGACACACGGCGGGUGCUAACGUCCGUCGUGAAGAGGGAAACAACCCAGACCGCCGGCUAAGGUCCCAAAGUUCUGGUUAAGUGGGAAACGAUGUGGGAAGGCUCAGACAGCUAGGAUGUUGGCUUAGAAGCAGCCAUCAUUUAAAGAAAGCGUAAUAGCUCACUAGUCGAGUCGGCCUGCGCGGAAGAUGUAACGGGGCUCAAACCAGGCACCGAAGCCGCGGAUUCACGCUAAGCGUGAGUGGUAGGGGAGCGUUCUGUAAGUCUGCGAAGGUGUNUCGAGAGGNAUGCUGGAGAUAUCAGAAGUGCGAAUGCUGACGUAAGUAACGAUAAAGGGGGUGAAAAGCCUCCUCGCCGGAAGACCAAGGGUUCCUGUCCAACGUUAAUCGGGGCAGGGUGAGUCGACCCCUAAGGUGAGGCCGAAAGGCGUAAUCGAUGGGAAGCAGGUUAAUAUUCCUGCACGACUUGUAAUUGCGAUGGGGGGACGGAGAAGGCUAGGUGGGCCAGGCGACGGUUGUCCUGGUGAAAGUGCGUAGGUGGUGUUUCUAGGCAAAUCCGGAGACACAACACUGAGACACGAGACGAACGCACCACGGUGCGGAAGCCAUUGAUGCCCUGCUUCCAGGAAAAGCCUCUAAGCUUCAGAUUACAAGUCAUCGUACCCCAAACCGACACAGGUGGUCGGGUAGAGAAUACCAAGGCGCUUGAGAGAACUCGGGUGAAGGAACUAGGCAAAAUAGAACCGUAACUUCGGGAGAAGGUUCGCUCUUGAUGGUGAAGUCCCUUGCGGAUGGAGCUGUCGGGAGUCGCAGUGACCAGAUGGCUGGGACUGUUUAUCAAAAACACAGCACUCUGCAAACACGAAAGUGGACGUAUAGGGUGUGACACCUGCCCGGUGCCGGAAGGUUAAUUGAUGGGGUUAGCGCAAGCGAAGCUCUUGAUCGAAGCCCCGGUAAACGGCGGCCGUAACUAUAACGGUCCUAAGGUAGCGAAAUUCCUUGUCGGGUAAGUUCCGACCUGCACGAAUGGUGUAACCAUGGCCAUGCUGUCUCCACCCGAGACUCAGUGAAAUCGAAUUCGCCGUGAAGAUGCGGUGUACCCGCGGCUAGACGGAAAGACCCCGUGAACCUUUACUACAGCUUGGCACUGAACAUUGAACCUACAUGUGUAGGAUAGGUGGGAGGCUUUGAAGGCGUGACGCCAGUUGCGCUGGAGCCGUCCUUGAAAUACCACCCUUGUAUGUUUGAUGUUCUAACGCAGGGCCCUGAAUCGGGCUCGCGGACAGUGCCUGGUGGGUAGUUUGACUGGGGCGGUCUCCUCCCAAAGAGUAACGGAGGAGCACGAAGGUUGGCUAAUCCUGGUCGGACAUCAGGAGGUUAGUGCAAUGGCAUAAGCCAGCUUAACUGCGAGACGGACAGGUCGAGCAGGUACGAAAGUAGGUCAUAGUGAUCCGGUGGUUCUGAAUGGAAGGGCCAUCGCUCAACGGAUAAAAGGUACUCCGGGGAUAACAGGCUGAUACCGCCCAAGAGUUCAUAUCGACGGCGGUGUUUGGCACCUCGAUGUCGGCUCAUCACAUCCUGGGGCUGAAGUCGGUCCCAAGGGUAUGGCUGUUCGCCAUUUAAAGUGGUACGCGAGCUGGGUUCAGAACGUCGUGAGACAGUUCGGUCCCUAUCUGCCGUGGGCGUUGGAUGAUUGAAGGGAGUUGCUCCUAGUACGAGAGGACCGGAGUGAACGAACCUCUGGUGUUCGGGUUGUCACGCCAGUGGCACUGCCCGGUAGCUAAGUUCGGAAUCGAUAACCGCUGAAAGCAUCUAAGCGGGAAGCGAGCCCUGAGAUGAGUCAUCCCUGACCCCUUGAGGGUCCUAAAGGGCCGUUGGAGACCACAACGUUGAUAGGUGGGGUGUGUAAGCGUAGCGAUACGUUGAGCUAACCCAUACUAAUUACCCGUGAGGCUUAACCAUACAACACCCAAGAAGUGUUCAGCGUAGCGAUACGUUGAGCUAACCCAUACUAAUUACCCGUGAGGCUUAACCAUACAACACCCAAGAAGUGUUCUG